UACGUAGGCAGCGAGCGUUGUUCGGAAUUAUUGGGCGUAAAGGGCGCGUAGGCGGUGUGGUAAGUCUGUUGUGAAACCUCCAGGCUCAACUUGGAGCUUGCAUCAGAAACUGCCGUGCUAGAGUGUGGGAGAGGAGAGUGGAAUUCCUGGUGUAGCGGUGAAAUGCGUAGAUAUCAGGAGGAACACCGGUGGUGUAGACGGCUUUCUGGACCGUAACUGACGCUGAGACACGAAAGCGUGGGUAGCAAACAGG
rnacentral:rRNA from 1 species